rnacentral:rRNA from 1 species
AUGCUUCAGGCUGGGUUGAACAGUACGAAUUUUGUUAAGCUUAACAUCAUUAGUGAGGCUUGCAAAACGCUUAACGUGGAUGAUGCGUUCCAUGCUGAAAGCACUUCGGCUGCUGCUUGUGCGGUUAUUCCUCCACGAAGUAUGGGAUUUUGUUUUAAAAGUUUCUAUUUGCUGCUGCUGAGUGGUUGUUUAAUUCAGACAAGGUCGGUUGCAAUAUGCCCGAAGACUCGAUGUGUGCCUCAUCUGCCACAUAUGCAAGCUCAUACCCUGCAAGAGUCGGUGGGAAGCAUUAACAGUUGGCUAGCUUAUCAUCUUUUUGGUGGGAAGCAUUAA